GAUGGCCGCUCGACGCGCCACGGCGACGAUGCGCCGAGCCGUGUCGUGCGCCUUCUCUCCACCUCCCCUGUGCCCUCGCUCCCUUCCUUGCUUGCGUCCUCAUCUUGCUCUCCUCCCCUCUCUCGACAUGGCAGCCCGACCCCUGCUCCAGCUACUCGCGGGUAAGCUCGCGUCGCGCCCAUGGCGUCGCCACCCACGGCCUCCACGCGGAGCCCCCUCCUCCGCCCUCCCUCGACCCGAGCCACCUCCGGGAACGAGUCCCUCUCGGCUCACUGGUGCUCCCCGACCCCUCCACCGCCGCCCCAACCCACUGGAACGGCGCCGCCGUGGUUCAGACCGCCGCCGGCCGCCCGCUCCACGUCGAGCUCCCACCUCUGCCCUCCCACAGCUCCAAUCAACCCCCGGGAACGGCUUCACCUCGCCCCCAACGGAGCUCCCAAGCCCAUCCAAGCCGCCUUCCCCUCGCCGGAGUGCCGCAGCCGCGACACAGGGCCGCCGGCGCCCGCGAACAGGCCACCACAGGCCACCUCAGCCCCAACUGAGACCACCGGCAGGUACGAUAGAAGAACCGCGUGAAUGACGUGAUAUCGGAGCCGAGCCAGAAGACGGUGAAUGGUGGACACAUCUAGAAGAUGGACGGAUGGAUCCAGAUGUGCACAACUGAAGGAAGAUGCUCACCGAGCACUUAUCCUCUAACUAACACUAACCUAGUGUUAUUCUCAGGUGGUACAUCUGAGGAUGUGAUUGAUGUCAUGUACGGGCUUCAUCAUGACGUCUUCUAUCA